rnacentral:rRNA from 1 species
CCUACGGGAGACUGCAGUGAGGAAUAUUGGUCAAUGGGCGAGAGCCUGAACCAGCCAAGUCGCGUUAGGGAGUACUGCCCUAUGGGUUGUAAACCUCUUUUGUCGGGGAGCAAAAGCCGGACGUGUCCGGCUGUGAGAGUACCCGAAGAAAAAGCAUCGGCUAACUCCGUGCCAGCAGCCGCGGUAAUACGGAGGAUGCGAGCGUUAUCCGGAUUUAUUGGGUUUAAAGGGUGCGCAGGCGGAUUUUUAAGUCAGCGGUAAAAUCGUGGGGCUCAACCCCAUCCAGCCGUUGAAACUGGGGAUCUAGAGUGUGCGAGAGGUAUGCGGAAUGCGUGGUGUAGCGGUGAAAUGCAUAGAUAUCACGCAGAACCCCGAUUGCGAAGGCAGCAUACCGGUGCACAACUGACGCUCAGGCACGAAAGCGUGGGUAUCGAACAGGAUUAGAUACCCGAGUAGUC